rnacentral:rRNA from 1 species
GAUGAACGCUGGCGGCGUGCCUAAUACAUGCAAGUCGAGCGAACAGACGCGGAGCUUGCUCCUCUGACGUUAGCGGCGGACGGGUGAGUAACACGUGGAUAACCUACCUAUAAGACUGGGAUAACUUCGGGAAACCGGAGCUAAUACCGGAUAAUAUAUUGAACCGCAUGGUUCAAUAGUGAACGACGGUUUUGCUGUCACUUAUAGAUGGAUCCGCGCCGCAUUAGCUAGUUGGUAAGGUAACGGCUUACCAAGGCAACGAUGCGUAGCCGACCUGAGAGGGUGAUCGGCCACACUGGAACUGAGACACGGGCCAGACUCCUACGGGAGGCAGCAGUAGGGAAUCUUCCGCAAUGGGCGAAAGCCUGACGGAGCAACGCCGCGUGAGUGAUGAAGGUCUUCGGAUCGUAAAACUCUGUUAUUAGGGAAGAACAAAUGUGUAAGUAACUAUGCACGUCUUGACGGUACCUAAUCAGAAAGCCACGGCUAACUACGUG